GAUGAACGCUGGCGGCGUGCCUAAUACAUGCAAGUAGAACGCUGAAGCUUGGUGCUUGCACCGAGCGGAUGAGUUGCGAACGGGUGAGUAACGCGUAGGUAACCUGCCUGGUAGCGGGGGAUAACUAUUGGAAACGAUAGCUAAUACCGCAUAACAGUAGAUAUUGCAUGAUAUCUGCUUGAAAGGGGCAAUUGCUCCACUACCAGAUGGACCUGCGUUGUAUUAGCUAGUUGGUGAGGUAACGGCUCACCAAGGCGACGAUACAUAGCCGACCUGAGAGGGUGAUCGGCCACACUGGGACUGAGACACGGCCCAGACUCCUACGGGAGGCAGCAGUAGGGAAUCUUCGGCAAUGGACGGAAGUCUGACCGAGCAACGCCGCGUGAGUGAAGAAGGUUUUCGGAUCGUAAAGCUCUGUUGUAAGAGAAGAACGAGUGUGAGAGUGGAAAGUUCACACUGUGACGGAACUACCAGAAAGGCG
rnacentral:rRNA from 1 species